rnacentral:rRNA from 1 species
CGACCAUAGAUCAUUGCAACCACCUGAUCCCAUCCCGAACUCAGCAGUUAAACGAUGUAUCGCCUAUGGUUGUGUGGGGUUUCCCCAUGUGAGAGUAGGUCAUCGUCAAGA